CUGCCGUCCCUGCCCUUGUCAUUCCCCAUCGCUCGCCGCCCGCAAGCUCUCUCUUCGCACUCCCAUGGCGGCUCACAGAUUCUAGAAGAUUAUUUGUACACCGACACAUAUAGAUAGAAGAAGCGAAGGAGACAUAACCAGCUAUGCUUUUAGCUCAGCUUCCACGAAUCCAUUUCUCCGUCUUCGCUAAAACCGCAGUCUCUCUCUCCCCUUCGCAUUUCAAUUUCCUAAACCCUAAGCCUCCGAUUACAGUAUCCAGAAACCUAUUCUUCUUCGCUCCAGCAUCCACUCUAUCCACGGUCGAGCCCAUACCUCUGCCGGUCUCGGAUUCAUCGGACAACGAGGAUGCUCCAGUCGAGAUUUCGCUCGACAAGCUGUUCGUCCCGCCUGAGACGGAUAUCUCGUGCGACGACCCGGCGACUCUAACCACGAGGAUACUGAAGGGCUCGAACAUCGUGCUAAGCAAGUACGCAAGGGACGCACAGGUGGUUCAGGCCGAGUUCGUGAAGAGCAGUGUCCGGACGGAGGAUUGUCCGGCGGAUGGGUUGCCGGAGUUCGCGCUCGUCGGUCGGUCUAACGUCGGGAAAUCGUCGCUCCUCAAUUCACUGGUGCGGCGGAAACGCCUAGCCUUGACCUCUAAGAAACCUGGAAAAACGCAAUGCAUUAAUCAUUUCCGAAUCAACGACAGUUGGUACUUGGUCGAUUUGCCGGGAUACGGGUAUGCAGCAGCACCACAGGAACUAAGAAUGGACUGGGGCAAAUUCACCCGAGACUACUUCCUCAACCGCUCCACGUUGGUCUCUGUAUUCCUCCUCAUCGACUCCAGCAUUCCCGCAAAGAAGAUCGAUCUCGAUUAUGCAAGUUGGCUUGGCCAGAAUCAGAUUCCGAUGACGCUGGUAUUCACAAAGUGCGACAAGAGGAAGAAGAAGAAGAACGGAGGGAAGAGGCCGGAGGAGAACAUGAAGGAUUUCCAGGAUCUGAUACGUGGGUUCUUCGAGACAGCGCCUCCGUGGAUAAUGACGAGCAGUGUGACGAACCAAGGCCGGGACGAGAUAUUAUUGCACAUGUCUCAGCUGAGAAACUACUGGCUCAAGCACUGAACAAGACAGGACAGAGAACAAGACAAUACCACCAAGAACCGUAUUACCGAAUUCAGUGUUGGUAAGAUAAUCGGCGGAACGACGACGUUGCGUCUCUGGAUCUUAAAGCCACACACGACGAAGGCGGUGCGCUUUUGUGCUGUUUCGUACACUAAGAAAUUGAACAUCUUUUUAACUAUAUCAAAUUCCAAAUAUUUGUAUCUUUAUUUUACAAAUUCAUAGUUUUUUUUCCAUA